GAAAAAUGUCAAAUUUUCAGCUGCGUUUGCAGGACGGUAUUUGUGACAAUAUGAAUUAUUGAAAUCAAUUUAUUCAGCAUAUUGCACAUCUCCCGGCCUAUAAAACAGUUGUGAGCCCGUCGAUUUAAAUG
rnacentral:precursor_RNA from 15 species